UCUUGAGCCAUGUUCUGGAAUCAGACUUCAUUUGUGGCCUGAAAAUGGGAAAUCAGCAUCAAGUUUGCCUCUCACUGAUAGGGUUAUGGAAGUGACAUCAAAGAUAAUGCGUAUUCCCUCAGGUCCAGCACCACGGCAGAUUAUCUGUGGAGGAAGAAGUUUAGUUAAUUUUAUAUGCUUACUCGAAACUUUGAAUAUGCAAUACUGUUACAGCUUGAAUCUGGCAGUCAAACCGAGCAACCUCCUCCAUCUGCUGUAUUUUGGUUAGGACCUGAAAAUAUGCAUGGCUUCAGAUUUUUAACUAUCUCAGUUGCAACUCGUCCGGAGUUGUUGUUGGACGAAGCUCAUCCUCUAGCAAUUUCUUAGAAUUCUAAUCCACUUCUAGUAGGCCAAUUUUUUAGAAUUUUUUUGUGAUGAUUAGGGGUGGACUGAUGUUUUAUGCUAGGGGGCCAGGUACCCUUCAUCUUUUUUGAGUUUUUGUUUUUUAUAUACUACACAUAUAAUAUAUGGAUAGAUACAUAAUUAAUAGUAGAUUUCACGUGA